rnacentral:rRNA from 1 species
AUUGAACGCUGGCGGAAUGCUUUACACAUGCAAGUCGAGCGGCAGCACGGGGGCAACCCUGGUGGCGAGCGGCGAACGGGUGAGUAAUACAUCGGAACAUGCCCAGUCGUGGGGGAUAACACUUCGAAAGAAGUGCUAAUACCGCAUACGUCCUGAGGGGGAAAGCGGGGGAUCGCAAGACCUCGCGCGAUUGGAGUGGCCGAUGUCAGAUUAGCUAGUUGGUGGGGUAAAGGCCUACCAAGGCAACGAUCGGUAGCUGGUCUGAGAGGAUGAUCAGCCACACUGGGACUGAGACACGGCCCAGACUCCUACGGGAGGCAGCAGUGGGGAAUUUUGGACAAUGGGGGCAACCCUGAUCCAGCCAUUCCGCGUGAGUGAAGAAGGCCUUCGGGUUGUAAAGCUCUUUCGGCAGGAACGAAACGGUGAGCUCUAACAUAGCUUGCUAAUGACGGUACCUGAAGAAGAAGCACCGGCUAACUACGUG